rnacentral:lncRNA from 1 species
UUGGUACGGCUGGAGAAGUUAAAAUGAUCUCAUUAGUGAAAGUACUUUGAAAACCACGUGAUCUUGUAGAAAUGGAAGUCCUUGAUGUUGUCACGUUAAGAGACCAACGUGGUAGCUAUUAGCAUUAUUGGUUAAAUAUUUCUGGCUCUCCACCAUUCAAACAUUUGGGAACAAUCUAUUUCAUGGCCUCAUUGUGGCUGGAUGGGCCACACACUAGUCCUGACCAGCAAGUGGUACCUUAUAUUGCCAUUAUGUCAAGACACGAAGAGCUUUGUACUUGUCAGUUUUAGUCUAGAGCCUUAACUUGUUGGCUUGUGAUGCUCCAGACCUCUUUGUCCUCUGCUGUAGUCAUUUGUGAAACUUUCACAUAUUGGCCGCUCCAUCAGCCCAUAGUGAGGAAGACACCAAACUCCAGGCAAAUGGCCAUGAGUAUGUUACACGAGCAAAAGGAGAAAAAAAAGAUUGUAGCAUUAUGACUUUGAGGUCUUUUGUCAGGCAGCAUCUCUUACUCUGUCCUGACUUAGACAACCGACUCAAUUAACUAAUGAACUGUAUUAUUGCUAAGUAAUUCUUACAACUACUGUUUUCUUUUUUCUUAGUGGUUGGUUAAGUUCAAGGUCAUUUCUAAUGAUGCAUCAGAAUUCAGCCACAGGAAUAACCCCUAAGGUCAUACUCAGAUACUUUUUCAAUUGUUUAUAAGGUUGCAGCCUCUUCAUCUGUAUUCAGUGUGCUUGCUGUUUGGACAACUCUCUCUUGUUCCCUGGGGACCUACCCAAAUUCCACUGGGGUAACUGCCGGAAGGCUUGGUGGGCCAACCUGCUGCUGCUGAACAACUAUGUGUCCGUUCAGAAUGCGAAGUAAAUAUGUCCUUGUCCUCCCUGGAGCCGUGCUGUUCUUGGCAUCUUUCACUGUCACUGCUCUGCUCAUGCUGACUUAUAAACUUCUGGUGGCAUCUCCAUCAGCAGUCAGGUCUUGUGAACCGAGAACUUUCCUGUGGUCUCCGGAGCUUUCCAGCCAACAUCAGUUAUGCUUGCUGCCUGGUGCACCCCAUCGUGGUCAUCCUCUACAGUGGACUACAGGACACCCUGAUUCACUACACUGACACCAACAUGGUGAGCUAGUGCCCAGUCGUUGGUCCUGCCACAUGCAGCAGCCCAGUUUUGCAAUAGCAAACUGCUGGCCCUGAUAGCCUGUUUUGUUUUUUUUUCUAAAGAGCUUUCUUGUUCUGUUUUAUUGAAGGGAGGGAGGAAGGCUUCAGAACAGCAUAACAUCUUUAUUUUAAUGUUCAGAGCUGUUUGUUCUACACAUGCAUUUCAUAGAGCCAGAAUGGCACCCUAAGAUCUGAACACGCAGGAAUCAUGGAGUAAACUGUCUCCUGUGUCCUUUUUCCCUGCAGUUCUAUCUUUUCUCUGGACACCAUGUGUUGACCUUCGUCUCUGACCUGGCCCUAACAUUGUUCAUUGAGCAGCCAUGGCAGGAGCUGAAACGGGACCUGUGUGGGCCAGUUCCUGCUGUGCCAUGACAGCUCUGACUAAACCUGAAGGAAUGGAUGGUCCUUGGUGGGUGGUGAUGAGCAGAGGCAGAGUGGCUGCAUGAGUGCAAUUAAUGCUUCUGUUCCUGAAAUGUGAAUGUGAAUUUUGUGAAUGUUUAAUACAUUUAAGUUCUCUCUGUUCACUAUACAAGACUUCUAAGAGAUAUAUAUACACACACACAUUUAGGUUUUAAUAUAUAUAUGUCUAUAUAUCUAAGAUCUAUGUAUCUAAUUUUUUUGUGAUAGGGUUUCUGUGUAUAGUUAGGGCAGGCCUUGGACUCGCUGUGUAGCCCAGGCUGGUCUCAAACCCAACAUCCUCCUAUCUCUCCUCCAAAGCACUGGGAUUAUAGACGUGUGACACCUUCUGAUAAUUUUUGUAGUAACACAAUAAUCACCCUCUGUUGGACCUUCAGCAAAGACCUGGAUUUUAUGGGUUUUUUUUUGUCCUGGCUUAGAUUUAAUUUUCUACAUCAAUCAUCAUAGUGUGUUAAGGUAAAUUAAAAUGGAGGCCUUGUAUGCAGAAUCCUGGAGCAGACAAAGCUGGUUAGCCCUUCUAAGUCACCUCAACCUUGCUUAUUUGCAAAUAGAAGCAAAACUAAAUGUGAGCUAUUUCUUGUACCUGCCUGUAAUAAAGAAAACAGAACUUAAGUUCA